rnacentral:misc_RNA from 1 species
UAAUCUCACUUCUACAACUUUUUUGUUGUAAAAUGUGGACUUGGACAUCUGCCGUGUUUCAACGGCUCGUCUUAAAUGCCUGAGUGUACCCCGCUUUGCGGCGUAUUCGGUGUGAUAAAUAUUUCACCGGAGUUUGGUCUUUUGACCGCGCUUUUGCAAUUGGUGGGCUCUAUGCUUUCCAACUGUCCCCUGUGGACAAUCUUUGACA